rnacentral:rRNA from 1 species
UACAGAGGGGGCAAGCGUUGUUCGGAAUUACUGGGCGUAAAGAGCUCGUAGGCGGUUCGAUAAGUCGGACGUGAAAUCUCCACGCUCAACGUGGAGGGGCCGUUCGAUACUGUCGUGACUCGAGUCCGGUAGGGGAGUGUGGAAUUCCCGGUGUAGCGGUGAAAUGCGCAGAGAUCGGGAGGAACACCCGUAGCGAAGGCGGCACUCUGGGCCGGUACUGACGCUGAGGAGCGAAAGCGUGGGGAGCAAACAGG